AACGAACGCUGGCGGCAUGCCUAACACAUGCAAGUCGAACGAGACCUUCGGGUCUAGUGGCGCACGGGUGCGUAACGCGUGGGAACCUUCCCUUAGGUUCGGAAUAACUCCCCGAAAGGGGUGCUAAUACCGGAUAAUUUCUUCUGACCAAAGAUUUAUCGCCUUUGGAUGGGCCCGCGUUGGAUUAGCUAGUUGGUAGGGUAAAAGCCUACCAAGGCGACGAUCCAUAGCUGGUCUGAGAGGAUGAUCAGCCACACUGGGACUGAGACACGGCCCAGACUCCUACGGGAGGCAGCAGUGGGGAAUAUUGGACGAUGGGCGAAAGCCUGAUCCAGCAAUGCCGCGUGAGUGAUGAAGGCCUUAGGGUUGUAAAGCUCUUUUACCCGGGAUGAUAAUGACAGUACCGGGAGAAUAAGCUCCGGCUAACUCCGUG
rnacentral:rRNA from 1 species